UACGGAGGGUGCAAGCGUUAUCCGGAUUCACUGGGUUUAAAGGGUGCGUAGGUGGGUUGGUAAGUCAGUGGUGAAAUCUCCGAGCUUAACUUGGAAACUGCCAUUGAUACUAUCAGUCUUGAAUAUUGUGGAGGUCAGCGGAAUAUGUCAUGUAGCGGUGAAAUGCUUAGAUAUGACAUAGAACACCAAUUGCGAAGGCAGCUGGCUGCACAUAUAUUGACACUGAGGCACGAAAGCGUGGGGAUCAAACAGG
rnacentral:rRNA from 1 species